CAGUGCCUAGGUUUUAUGUAGUGAAUUUGGCUAAAAUGGUAGAGCUCCCUGAUUCUAACCUCCCUGCAGGUUUUCCACCACAUCCACUCACCUCUACAUGGCGAAAACCAAGGGUUCACUCUCUGUCUUCAGGGAGCUCCACCCAGCAGCAGCGUUUGACAGAGCUGUUCACUUCCUCUUCCUGGAGCUGUGGCUUCCAGAGCCCAUGCUCAGCAGUUCCCCUCCUUCUUCGACUGCUCCUCUCUUAGGCUCAGAGCCACUCAGACAUUGGGAAGCAAGUUUGUCAAGAUGACAGAGAACCGAGGUAAUGGAUUCGAGUGAUGAAACAGGAAGUUCAUUCAUGAGUUUUUGGCCACACCUCCAAAGUGACGACUUAGCCAGAAAUGGGAUAACUGGGUUUCCCUACUUCUCUUUUAUCAUCCUCAAUGAGAGUGACCAAAUAUUAGAGCUAGAUGGAACCUUAGUGAAAAUCUGGCUACUCGUCCCGUCCCACCAGCCUGCCACCCAUUUCAAGUUUGAAGAGACAAAGACACAUGGACCUUAUGUAAUUACUGGGGAUUACCCCAGGAGUCUGUGGCAAAAGUCAGCUUCUUCCCUCCCUGCUUCCCCGCCCUGUCUCUGGUACUUUCUACCAACACUGGGCUGUUUCUGUGAUCACACUUAAGCGUACCUAACCUGCGAAUGCUGUAUAGAAGGUGCUAAUGAACAUGAUUUAGCUUUAACACUCAGUUUUCUAAAGGGACACGUGGGGGCAGCAAAUGUUUAGGCAAAAACAAUUCCAGUUCUAGCCUCUACUGUCUACAUAUGUGUAUACAUUUGGGAAACGUUUGGGAAAGGGAUAUUUGAGAGCUUC
rnacentral:lncRNA from 1 species